ACAGCGCGGAUCGGGGCUGGGAGCUGCAGGAGCGCCGCUUACCGCCCCGUUCUGCGCUCGGA
ensembl:miRNA gga-mir-7477 gga-mir-7477